rnacentral:tRNA from 1 species
GGCGCGUUCAACUUCUGGUGAGGUUGUCAGUCUUUCACACUGACCAGGUUGGGUUCGAAUCCCACACGCGUCA